GAUGGGCAUUGAGACAAGUGAACAGGCAGAUGGAAAACAGCAUGGUGAGUAAUACAGAUGGUGGGAAGAACAGGGUACUAUGGCAUCUGCUGUGGAAAGAAGAUAGAUCUAGGUGAUGGUUAAGUCUAAGACAAAGGAGGAGUAAAAUCAUCAAGGAAAGCAGGAGAGAGGGAAGGAAGUGGAAAGCAGACAAAAAAAAAAAAAAAACAACAGCAGCUGUAGAAGCCUGAGAAGAUGAGAGAGUCAAGUCCUUAGAGGGACUGAAAGCAGAGACAUAACGGCACAAAACGAGAUGGGAAAGUGACGGAGCAAUACAUGAGUCUGUAAUGAGUGGAAUUGAUGCCUUUGUUUUCAAAUGAGAUAUUUCUGGAGUGAUAAAUCUGGAUCUAUGGAUCUUACAUAAGGGAUUUAGGUGGGCAGCAGCACUUGGUUAUUUACAAGUUCAGGAUCCUGUUUAUAAAGCAAGGAAAGAUUGCUAUCUGUCUCCAGCACUAUGGCGAGAUAAUUAAUAGGAGCACUGCUGGAGACUGAUAGUGCAGGCGGCCGAUACCCAUGGCAGGAGCUCUCGUCAUCUAACUGCCACAGAAUUGUGAAGGCCCUUCUGGCGAAGCAUCUCUAAAGAAGACCAUUGACAGCCACUAUCAGUAGCAGCAGCAGU
rnacentral:lncRNA from 1 species